rnacentral:rRNA from 1 species
CACGUAGGCGGAUAUUUAAGUCAGGGGUGAAAUCCCAGAGCUCAACUCUGGAACUGCCUUUGAUACUGGGUAUCUUGAGUAUGGAAGAGGUAAGUGGAAUUCCGAGUGUAGAGGUGAAAUUCGUAGAUAUUCGGAGGGACACCAGUGGCGAAGGCGGCUUACUGGUCCAUUACUGACGCUGAGGUGCGAAAGCGUGGGGAGCAAACA